rnacentral:rRNA from 1 species
UUUAUUAGAGAGUUUGAUCCUGGCUCAGGAUGAACGCUGGCGGCGUGCCUAAUACAUGCGAGUCGAGCGAAUGGAUUAAGAGCUUGCUCUUAUGAAGUUAGCGGCGGACGGGUGAGUAACACGUGGGUAACCUGCCCAUAAGACUGGGAUAACUCCGGGAAACCGGGGCUAAUACCGGAUAACAUUUUGAACUGCAUGGUUCGAAAUUGAAAGGCGGCUUCGGCUGUCACUUAUGGAUGGACCCGCGUCGCAUUAGCUAGUUGGUGAGGUAACGGCUCACCAAGGCAA